GGCCGUGACGAUAACGGUCUACUUCUUUCCCAGUCCGAUUCGACCAUGACGAUAUGGGGUUCUACCACGCGAAGUUUCCAAUUUAUUGGACUCAUACGCUUUUCUUGCCAGUGGGCGCCCUUCAAAAAGGCGUUCACUAUAUUCAAGUGUCCGAGCC
rnacentral:snoRNA from 1 species